CUAGGAGUCCCUAUUGUCCGUAGAAAAGAACCCUAACUGAUCAAGUGAGAGUCUCCUUUUCCUCAGAAACAUGUUCACCUUUCUAAGCCCCAUAUCUCCCUAGAAGGUCAUUCGUCCCAUCCCAGCAUUGCCUCCCUCAUCUCACCGGAGAUACAUUCAACUUGUAUGGUCAUCCUCUCUUUGCCAAUAUUUGUUUUUUGUCUUCAAAAUCUAGUAACUCUUCAUCUCCUAUGGUUCAUUUCCAAAGCCCUCCAUCCGACUCUGUUAACCUUGCUUCUUGUUCUAGACCUUUGUAGAUCGAAUGGAUCCACCUUUCUUUUGUUUCGUUCCUCCUCUACCACGGAGAACUCCAACGCCUCUCCUACCAGGUAUGAUUCUUCACCCCUUCUUAACCCCUCAGCUACCAAUAUGUGCACCAACUGUUUACUUCUUUUGCAGCAAACAAAUAGAUGCAACUGUCAUUACCCCUUUUUUAAUGCUUUAAUGUCUUCAAUGUAAGAUCCAGUAACCGAUAUGUUGUCAUCGGUGGAGUUCACUUUCCUUACUAUAGUGAGGGAAUCACCUUCAAUCACCAUCUCUCUACACCUUAGAUCUAGACCGAUCUGGGUCGCUUGAAGGUAUGCAAUCGCCUCAGUCGCAAAAGUCAAUGGUAUAUGGUCAUUCAUGAUGUAUUAAUACAUUAAUUACUAAUUCUAAAUUAUUAAACAUUCUAAAUAACUCAUCAAUGC
rnacentral:lncRNA from 1 species